UGCUUUCUAGUGCAGUCACGUCAGCACCC
rnacentral:piRNA from 1 species